AAAUUUUCCUGCUCCAAGUCUGUGCCUGAUGGUUUUUGGUUUUCCUCUGGCCUUGUUUUAGCCUGACUACGUCUCAGCAUCCAAAUCCUCUCAGCUUCCUCCUUUAAACCAUCUCAUCACCAGUAAUCACUCACCAUUCAUCAGAUCUGAGAGAUCCACUGCAUCGAUCAUCAUUGUUUCUCCAGUGUCAAGUUCCUGUUCAGCUCCAGCACAGUCAUCAUAUCAGCAUAUUGACAUAAAUUGUUCCUAAUUCUGAGUCUCUGCUUCCUGGGGUUCAGCUUGUUGCAUGCUAAUUCCUGACAGUGAGUUUCUGGUGUUUGUUGCUUUGAGUCUGCGCUGUGUUAUCAGGGGAGUUAGCCCGAGCGUGUGUCUUUGUGGGUGGUUUUUAAAAGAACAUGUGGAGGAACAGUGUGCACCUUAGCUCCAAGGUGCUGCAGCAAGCAUGGUUGCCAUGGACAUAAUGGAUCAUUGUAAGAUGCAUCUCAAAAAGGACUUUUCUGCUGGAAUGGUCUAAAGGCAUAGAGUCUUCAUCUGUUUAGAAUAUGUUGCACCUAAAUUAUAUUAAUUAAAAUCAGACUUUUCCCUGAAAUGUUGUUUGUAGAUGUAUUCAUUAGUCUAGUAGAUGACUAUUUCUGUUCAACAUGUUUCCUGUCAUGCCUGUUUUUUGUUUGCAAUCACCACAGCUGCUUCCUAUUCAUUGUUCAUUCUCUCUAGGCAAUUGUCAAAAUUUACUUAAUAAGUAGGUAAAUUUAUUGUUAACUCAAAUGAUACCAAGGCAUCUCUGCUCAACCGUUGCUAAUUACACAAAUUCUGUAAAAUGUAAAGUAUGCAGUGACAUUGUAUUGUAAUUCUCCUGGUUGUUGUCAUUUUACAGGGGGGGGGGUUCUGAAUGUGUGUGAUCAUUUGUAGCUUAUCCAUUAAAAAAAAAAACAUUUCUUGCAACUUA